UACGUAGGUGGCAAGCGAUACUCGGAAUCACUAGGCGUAAAGCGCAGGUAGGAGGUUUUGGUAAGUCUGUUGUGAAAGCUCCCGGCUUAACUGGGAGAGGUCAACGGAAACUACUAGGCGUAGAGUGCGGUAGAGGUAGCUGGAAUUCCCGGUGUAGCGGUGAAAUGCGUAGAUAUCGGGAGGAAUACCUAUGGCGAAAGCAGGCUACUGGACCGUCACUGACUCUGGAUCUGCGAAAGCUAGGGGAGCAAACAGG
rnacentral:rRNA from 1 species